rnacentral:lncRNA from 1 species
AAAAACCUCUUUCUUCUUUCUCACCAACCCUGAUAGCUCUCUUCCUCUUUCUUUUGUUCGUUCUCCAACCACCGACCAUUGAAUCUGGUGAUUAAGGGCUCUAAACUUAAAAGCUUGAUGAGAGGAACAAUUUGGUGACUUUGGGUUGCGAAAUAAGGGUCUGGAUCGAGAAAAAACUCGGUCGGUGUGAAGCGUCACCGCUGUGAUUCCGUCUUCUGGCGAUCCAUGCUGUUUUCGACGAGACUAGGCCUAGAGGUGGGUCUCGAUCGACUCCUCUCCUCUAGGCGAACCUUUCCCCCUCCACCAAUUCCAGUGCUGAAGCUUUAAUGACAAGACCGCCAUGGAUGGCAGUGGCAAGGCUACUGUCGAGGCCAUUUCCUGCCAAAUGAGACACACCCAGUCCAAAUUCAUCACAGAUUCUGAGUCCCCAUGAAAUUUCUAGCAUUUUGGUGUAUAUGUUGCUCAGUUCCGGCAAUAGUCGAUUUUUCAGCCAUCGUGUACAGUGGCCGACGUCGACAUUCUGGUGACCAGUCUGCAAGACUCCGGCGGGGCCAUAGGAGCCAGAAUUCUUAUCUCGAUUCGGGCAGUGGGAUGGAGUUAACGAAAUUUCUAUUGGUGAGCCCUAAGACUUUGAUACUAAAUUUUUCGAUAAUAAUAAGAGUUUGUUGAUCAAAUUUUAUUGUUUCAAUUUAGUUGAGCUAAAUGUAUAACUAAAACAGAAAUUUAUUAAAAUGUUAACUUAACUAAGUCAGUUGAUAGAUUAACCUAAAUCGAAGGGAAGUUAGAUUAAAAUCCGAUAUCUGGUUAUCGUUUUGGUGGAUAUCCACUUAUUAUUUAUAUAGUUCAAAUGGUAUGUAAAUAAUGGAGAAUGAGUUUUGAUUAAAGAUAAUGCAUGAUGGAUGGGCUGUAUAUUGAUUUGUGCCUUUGACACAGUGAUUUGACGCUAUCCCGAUUUACAAGGGAGAUGCAACUAAAUUUUCUGUAAAAUGUAUAAUAAUGAAUUAAAAUAAUUAUAUCAUUAAGAGAAAUAACUAAUAAAAUUACCGGUAC